UACGGAGGGAGCGAGCGUUGUUCGGAAUUACUGGGCGUAAAGCGUAUGUAGGCGGCUUUGUAAGUCAGGUGUGAAAUCCCAGAGCUUAACUUUGGAACUGCAUUUGAGACUGCAAGGCUUGAGUAUCGGAGAGGUUGACAGAAUUCCUAGUGUAGAGGUGAAAUUCGCAGAUAUUAGGAGGAAUACCGAUGGCGCAAGCAGUCAACUGGACGAUUACUGACGCUGAGAUACGAAAGCGUGGGGAGCAAACAGG
rnacentral:rRNA from 1 species